rnacentral:lncRNA from 1 species
GUGGUUGGAAGUAAUCCCCCACCAUAAUCUAACUACAGUGGUUUGUCUGCAUUAUCAUUCAGGCUACUACAAACACACACACACAUCACUAUUAUCACUGAUAGUCAAAGACAGCAAAGAUUUUUGUUUGUUGGUUUUAAUGACAUUUUACAAUCAGAGUUUCCAACAGUAAGUAAUGGGACCCCUCAGAGGAAUGAGGUACUACGUGGCUACACCGCCACCUGGGCGCUCUUUGACAGUGCCUUCAGGUCCAAAAUGCACUUUGCAAUGCUCUCCUUCUGCUGCUGAGGUGUGAUGCUCUGAAUAACACUCUUCUCCACCCACUGAACCAUGUGAUCUUGCUCUUUCUGACGCUUUAAGUUCUGCAGAGCUACUUGAUAGUCCAGCCUUUUCUUUACUUCAUUGUACACUGUCAGUAAUCUUUCUCGGUAAUUAGCUUCCAGCAACAUUGCAAUAUUAUUCCUCUUAGCAUCAAAAAGGUAACUGCGGCCUUCAAUUCUCCACUGCUCCUUUUUCUCCUCCUCAAUGGCAGUCUCCAAUGCUUUAAUUGCUUCAUUUUUCACCUCUAAAGCUUUAGCAAUUUUCUCCUCAUUAAGUUUGUCAGCAAAAGCUGCUACGUCAGCACCAUACUUUUUAACAGCAUAAAUGAUGACUGUCAAUAUGCAGGCAGCUGCAACUGUCUCAUGGUUAACGACAUAGAUUUCCUUAGAGAGUAAGUAGAGCAGGAGUCCAGUUCCCAACAUGUAAGGCCCUGUGACGCCGGUUUUGGGAUAGAGAAACUGGAAGAACUCCUCAGGGAUCAGGCCGUGCCGGACCUCUCCUCCCUUCUCUGGCAGAGGUGGCACAGGAGCCAAGCGGUGCUGGCCGGUGUGAAGCGGCCUCGCGACGUGCAAAAUGCCCGCCGAGACGGGAGGCGGCAGGCCCUGCAGGCCCUUCAGCACGGCCGGGGCGGCGCGGAGGACGAGGCGGGACAGCAUGGCGGCAGAGCGUCCGUUCGUCCCGGUGACCGCCGGCCGCCUCCGCAGCACCGAGAUGGCGGCUGGG